CCUACGGGUGGCAGCAGUGGGGAAUAUUGGACAAUGGGGGCAACCCUGAUCCAGCCAUGCCGCGUGUGUGAAGAAGGCCCUCGGGUUGUAAAGCACUUUCAGUGAGGAAGAACGCCUGGUGGUUAAUACCCAUCAGGAAAGACAUCACUCACAGAAGAAGCACCGGCUAACUCCGUGCCAGCAGCCGCGGUAAUACGGAGGGUGCGAGCGUUAAUCGGAAUUACUGGGCGUAAAGCGCGCGUAGGUGGCUUGAUAAGCCGGUUGUGAAAGCCCCGGGCUCAACCUGGGAACGGCAUCCGGAACUGUCAAGGUAGAGUGCAGGAGAGGAAGGUAGAAUUCCCGGUGUAGCGGUGAAAUGCGUAGAGAUCGGGAGGAAUACCAGUGGCGAAGGCGGCCUUCUGGACUGACACUGACACUGAGGUGCGAAAGCGUGGGUAGCAAACAGGAUUAGAUACCCCUGUAGUC
rnacentral:rRNA from 1 species